rnacentral:misc_RNA from 1 species
AAAAUUUAUCUAUAAAGGAUUUUAUAAUGAAGCAGAACAUGGACCUUCAAUCAGCUAUGAACAGUAUCUUGAAGAAAUGAAACCCAAACCACGGGAUUAGUUGUAAUUCAUGUGAAAGAAGGAACUAUGUCACUCAACAACUACUGUUAUAACUGUGCAUUUUGUAAUAUUUUGAGUUGUUAAUAAAAUAUUAAGACUGC